AUUGAACGCUGGCGGCAGGCCUAACACAUGCAAGUCGAGCGGAUGAAGGGAGCUUGCUUCUGGAUUCAGCGGCGGACGGGUGAGUAAUGCCUAGGAAUCUGCCUGGUAGUGGGGGACAACGUUUCGAAAGGAACGCUAAUACCGCAUACGUCCUACGGGAGAAAGCAGGGGACCUUCAGGCCUUGCGCUAUCAGAUGAGCCUAGGUCGGAUUAGCUAGUUGGUGAGGUAAUGGCUCACCAAGGCGACGAUCCGUAACUGGUCUGAGAGGAUGAUCAGUCACACUGGAACUGAGACACGGUCCAGACUCCUACGGGAGGCAGCAGUGGGGAAUAUUGGACAAUGGGCGAAAGCCUGAUCCAGCCAUGCCGCGUGUGUGAAGAAGGUCUUCGGAUUGUAAAGCACUUUAAAUUGGGAGGAAGGGUUGUAGAUUAAUACUCUGCAAUUUUGACGUUACCGACAGAAUAAGCACCGGCUAACUCUGUGCCAGCCGCCGCCGUAAUAC
rnacentral:rRNA from 1 species